GAUGAACGCUGGCGGCGUGCCUAAUACAUGCAAGUCGAGCGGAUGAUGGUAGCUUGCUACCUGAUUCAGCGGCGGACGGGUGAGUAAUGCCUAGGAAUCUGCCUGGUAGUGGGGGACAACGUUUCGAAAGGAACGCUAAUACCGCAUACGUCCUACGGGAGAAAGUGGGGGAUCUUCGGACCUCACGCUCUCAGAUGAGCCUAGGUACGAUUAGCUAGGUGGUGAGGUAAAGGCUCACCAAGGCGACGAUCGUUAACUGGUCUGAGAGGAUGAUCAGUCACACUGGAACUGAGACACGGUCCAGACUCCUACGGGAGGCAGCAGUGGGGAAUAUUGGACAAUGGGCGAAAGCCUGAUCCAGCCAUGCCGCGUGUGUGAAGAAGGUCUUCGGAUUGUAAAGCACUUUAAGUUGGGAGGAAGGGCAGUAAGUUAAUACCUUGCUGUUUUGACGUUACCGACAGAAUAAGCACCGGCUAACUUCGUGCCAGCAGCCGCCGUAA
rnacentral:rRNA from 1 species